UCUGAUGCUGCUUGGGAAAGGGCAAAGAGCUACUGGGGAAUGAAUGUAUUCACGUUUUAACAUGAACAGGAGACAUGUAGGCGAGGAGGGGGAAAGCGGAUGUUUCCGAUGCCGCUGGGUAAGGCUGCUUGUGUCACUGGAAAAAACGGAGCAUAUCUCCCAGAAAAAGAGUGCUAGUAUGGGUGCCAAAAGGGAUCAUAUCUUCCAUAGAAAGGCUCCUUGUGUGUGGCUGGAAAAAAAUGGACCAUAUCUCCCAGAAAGAGUGCUAGUUUGGAUACCAAAAGGGACUCUAAAGCCCAUAGAACAUGAAGCAAUCUUUCACGUGAAGCUAGCAUUCACAUGAAAGUGGAACCAGGAAGUGGCCCCCUUCUUAACCCCAGAAGUGCAAAGGUUCAGGAUGUGUUCAGACCCCACUGAGCAUGCACAAGGGUCCCAAUUCAAAUCGUUGUAUCCUCAUGUAUGUACUGGUGUGGUAAUACAAUGUGCGCUCACUCCGCUUUGACUCUGGAAUUACCACAAUUUUGUUCUUCACGUGUGAUAGUUCAUCACGUGAAUUGCCUUGGAUUUGAAGUGACUCUGCUCGGCUAAAGUGACCAUCAGUCAGAAAAGAUUUGAAAGCACACAACAACAGUGCCAGCGAAGGUGCUGCUUUGCCUUGGAGCUGAGUUGUCCAGCCCACAAUAAACCUGGGUGCCCUCAAAUCAUACAUCCACCCCAUAGAAUCAGAAGGUUCUCAUGGAAGGUUUUCCUGCAGAAUUCCUGCAGAAUUCAGGCCCAGUCCUUUCCCUGGAGACAAGAAACAGCCAGAGGUGUGUGUCUGGUAGCUUUUCUGUUGCCAAUAGCGUUGAAUUUUUAUUAAAUCUAAUGUCUUUAAUUGCCCUUUGUUUCUACAAGGCCAAGAAGGGGAGCAUCCUAGCUGACAGCAGAAGUAACAUCUGAGACCAAUAUGUGACAACUUGGACAUGACUGGUAUUUUAUGAAAGCAGCCACAACAUUCUCCCAAAACCACUCUCCACAGAAUCCUACUCCACUGUCUCAUCAUGGCAUGACCACGAAGCAAGCUUGUUUUCUGCUGCUCCAGAGAAUAGGACCUGGACCAAUGGUUUCAAACUACAGGAAAAGAGAUUCCACUUUAACAUUAGGAAGAC